CCUUACCCCGCUAGAUUCUGCAGCACGAGUCGACAAAGUACGACAACGUACGAGUCGUUUGUGUGCAGUAUGCACCGGGCACUUGCGCGUCGACUCCCGCGCCCAUCUCCAGCGCCUCAUCGACUCCAGCUCGAAUCUCGCGUGUAAAAGAGAGUCACCGAGAUUCGAUCGUGGAGUAAGGAUAGAAUUCAUUCCGUGACGACUUUUUCCUUUUCUUUUCCGUCCUUGAAAUUUGUUUGUGAAAAUUCUCGUUACCAGAGAUACGCACGGUCCUUUUUUUUGUUCACCUCCCUGUCUAUUUGUCUGUUUGCCUGCCUCUCUCUCUUCCUCUUUCUCUCUCUCUCUCUCUUCCUCUUUCUCUCUCUCUCUCUCUCUCUCUCUCUUUUUAUCUAUCGUGAUCGGUGGUGAAAGAGUGUGAUUGAAGGUGUUGCUGGCGUAGAUGGUGUUGUUGCCGGUGUUAGCACCGGUGGUGCGUUAGUUAUGAUUAUGGUUACAGUGGCGGUGUCAUCGGUGGUGGGUGGUGCUCCUCUCAACGUGCAAAAACCGGGAAUUGGUAUAUAGUUCGAGCACACUAUGCUGCCGUCGAAUCGGACAACGUUCUUAAGAUUGUUACUGUGAUGCUUGACCUACUGGCGGAUGAUUAUGGAGAUAGCCGAUGUCGGAGGUGGGCAGGUACGAACAGGACUGAUCUUCCUCUUCCUUAUAUCGGUGAUCCUGAUCAAGAGGACUACUGGUUCGAACGGCGGCACCUGCGGCCUUGCGGAAUUGACUUGUCGAGACGGGCAUUGCGUACCAAUUGAUGCAUAUUGCAAUGGUAAAAAUGAUUGCGGGGAUGGCAGCGACGAGCCAACGCUUUGUACUCCAUGCAACCGCACCUAUCACGGCCAGGAGGGUCGUACCUAUCAUUUGGAGCUUUCUAGACCAGCCGAAACGCGUCUUCCUUUUCUAUGUCACCUGACCUUCACUGCGGCUGGUCGAGGUUACGGUGAACUCGUUCAACUACUUUGGGAUUCCUUCAGCGUAGGACGUCUCGAGCCAAACGCCGAAUAUCUAUCGGCUAGCUGUCCCGAAGGAUCUUUGCAAUUGGCCGAAUUGGGUAGACACUUUACAGGUGGAUUUUGGUGUGGCGCCGGUGAAAAUCGUGCGACUUAUUACAGCGAGACCAGUACGGUCACUGCCUCGAUUCGUCUAUUUCACGCACCACCCUCCGUUCCCUUUGAUUUCCGUCUUAGAUAUCGUUUCGUUUCUCGAAACGACGCUGUGGCACGUCUAGGAAAGCCGGAUUAUCCAAUCGAGAGGGGCUCGCCCGUUCCAGGAACCUACUGCUCCAGAAACUUUUACGAGUGCCACUUGAAACAAUGUCGUCUCCAAAGCCCAAAUUAUCCAGGAGAAUAUCCAAGAAAUGCGAGCUGUAUGAUUACGCUCCGUCAAAAGGAGGUACCAACUUGCAAACAUGCUAUGAUAUCCGUUAAAAACAGUCCAACCGGCCCAACUGGAUUAACCAGCUCCAAUGCGUCGCUCAGCAUUUGGCAGGAUUGCACGCCUGAAAAAGAUCGACUAAUCUUUCACGACGGCUUGCGCACCGAAGAUCCAAUACUUUUGAUCUAUUGUGGUGGUCCUUUACCAAGAGUUAUCGCCAGAGGACCAAAUAUGCUCGUUGAGUUUAGAAGUUCACCGAUUGCCAUUCCUUUAGGAGCGUCGGCAUUGAGACUCGAAUUGGAAGUUCAAGUUAUCUAUGUGGAUUCAGAUGGUUUGGAUUAUGCCAGGAACUCCGAAGGAUGUCAUUUCUUUGUCAAUGGUACAGCCAAAAGGAGUGGUACGUUAAGAGCUCCGCUUCACGCACUACCACCAAGUUCUAGUUGCACGUGGAACAUCAAAGGAUCAGCUGGUGAUCGCGUAUGGAUAUAUUUCUCAUCCUAUUCUCAAAGGGAUUUAACAACGAGUACGGAAAAUAAUGCUAGCACGCAAUCGGAUUCAUUGUGCGGAGUUAAAUUAUUAUUUUGGGAUGGAUCUCCGUUAACUGGACUUCCUAUGGUCACGCUUUGCGACAGUACACCUAAACUUUGUGCACAUGCGGCCCUUAGAAAUGCUACGAGAAGUACUAGACCUUGCACAGCGGAUGAAAGUUAUCUCACGAUUGCACCUAGCUUAACAUUACGAAUGGAAACCGUACUUGGAACUGCUCUUCACAAUGUCAACUUUCAGGCUCAAUACGAAUUCAUUUCAACGAUUCAAGUUGGUGAACCAUGGGGAGACGGUGUUUGUAGCAGAGUUUGGCGUAAAGUUCGAAGCGGUGAUGUGACGUCACCACGGGAUGUACGGCUUUACGGUAGAGGUGGUUCCUCCAAAUUGGAUUGCAAAUAUAGAAUAGAAGCUGGAGUAGGCGAAAGAGUUAGAUUCACGUUGCACAACGUUAGCCUCGGGGAAGCAACGUCCUGUAUCAGCGAACCGGACCCACAUACUGGUAGACCACGUUGCGUACACGAGAUCGGUUCAAGAGAGGCUCGAUUGGUUCUUUACGAGGCACCGUGGCGUGAUGUCAAAUUACCUAGAGCUUGUCUUUGCGAUAACACGUCUAAUCUUCCGUUGACCCAUAUCUCAGCUGGAAGAGCACUUGAGAUUACGUUCCUGGUAGAUCAGCAGGCACCUCACGAAGACUUCGAGACUCUCUUCUUUUACGCCAGUUUCGAGUUGGUGCGUUCACCGGAGUGCCCGAGAAAACAGAGAGUUCGUGGCGAAGGUGGCGAGUUAAGAUUCGUUGCUCCGCCCUUAUCAAGGCCGGACAUCUAUUGCGAGGGUCUUCCAUGGUUAGUCGAGGCUAGAGAAAAUAGAUCGUUAUUUGUAUUAACUUGGGGUUGGUUCAUGCCGUUAGAACCAGGACCGGUAUCAGAAUCGAGCGACGCCAUUAAAUGUCCAACAUCUAACAGGAUAUUAUUGUAUUCCGGUUGGCCACCAAGAUUGUUGAAAGUGGUUUGUCCAGCUGAACCCGGUGCCAGGGAGUUUACAGUUCAUGUGUUUUCUGAAGAAUGGUUAGGCGGAGAGGAAGGGAAAUGGCCUGGGCCACCAAGGCCACCUGCACUUUUAUUGGAUUUUGUUGCCAGAGAAUCCGGUCAAGCUGCAGCCUCUUGGUUGGAAAUAUCUAAGAGCAGAGCUGCUUUACGCAGACAGUUACGUCUUCCAGAAAGAGGACCAGAGAACGAGACCGUAUCUCAGGGAGAUUGUCCGCACAAAUGUCCCGAACUUGGUGCUUGCAUCGCUGCCAGUCUUUGGUGCGACGGCAGGCCACACUGCCCGUCCGGUCAUGACGAGGCCAAUUGCGGAAGCGGCGCUAGAUUAUUAGGGUUAUUGCCGCCGGCUUUAUGGCUCGUCGUUGCCGGAGUUACCGGAAUUGUCACUGCCUUUGCGUGCCUCUUCGCCAUACUAAUCAGCAGGUCCAGGUUACGCGCGAAACGACUUCGUUAUAAGGGAACGAUGAAGAAUAGCAAGCCGAGACGGGCGCCGACGGAAGAGACACUUUUGGGUGCGGCAUCCUGACAUCAGCAGCCCGGUUUCGUGGAAUAUAUUCACGUUGACCGGGAAACUACCAUGACCACUUUAUGUCGUAACAUUUCGCAAAUACGAUCUUAAAAUGUUCUUCUUGUCAUAUUUAACAUGACUAUAACAUGACUAUCAAUUGGAAGAUAAGUAUGAUAUAACACUUAAUAUAGUUAAGAGAUCUAUGCAAUAACCUAUGAUGACAACGAAUUUAAAAUGGAUGAUGGAUGAAUGUGAUAUAACUUCUUAAUUGGCGUUUGAAAAAUCUUUUUUUCGGCCUUUCAUGUCAAACUUUGUUUCUUUUUUCUUUCUUUUUUUUUUUUCAU